rnacentral:rRNA from 1 species
UAUGGUAAUUGUGUGCCGCCGCGGUAAUACGUAGGGGGCAAGCGUUAUCCGGAUUUACUGGGUGUAAAGGGAGCGUAGACGGCAAGGCAAGUCUGAUGUGAAAACCCAGGGCUUAACCCUGGGACUGCAUUGGAAACUGUCUGGCUCGAGUGCCGGAGAGGUAAGCGGAAUUCCUAGUGUAGCGGUGAAAUGCGUAGAUAUUAGGAAGAACACCAGUGGCGAAGGCGGCUUACUGGACGGUAACUGACGUUGAGGCUCGAAAGCGUGGGGAGCAAACAGG